CAUUAUGUCUUUCCCAUCAUUGGGUACAAAUAUAUGAAGAAAAGGAAAACAAACACUUCUAUUCAAACUCUAAAAUUGUGGUGAGUUGAAACAAACUCCAUUCUCUAUCCACGACACCCUAACAAUAAUUUAAAUAAAAAUGCCAAAAAUAAACUACUACUACUACCAGCCCUCCUUGGACCAAAAACGCAAGUUGGUCCGGUUCCAUCUAGGCUUGGGUUUCCACUUUCCAAACCGGUCGUGCUGGUCCAACCAUUCGAGUGCCACUGCAUCAAAUCUUUAUUUGGAUGACAGUUUACUCAUAGAAUACAUAUUUACAGCAAACAUACAAUAAUGGCCACAAUAUCUCCAAAGGAUUCACGUCAUAUGCUUAAGGUAAUCUUAAGCCUUGAGUUAGAAACCCAACUGCAUGCAGCAGGCCAGAAAGCAUAAAA